AAGAAAAACAGGUAUUGCAGAUUCGCUCCUGUGUUUUAUAUCUUCUUCUACUCUUCUAUUUCUGUUAUCUGCUUAUUGCUUUGUUUUUCUAAUUUUUUAUCCCCAAAACAAUCUUUAAUAAAAAGUUGGUAAAUCGAGAGAGGCUGGA
rnacentral:ribozyme from 1 species